rnacentral:piRNA from 1 species
UGCAGACAAUGUGUUGAGGUGAAAUG